UUGUCAGGCCACCUAAUAGACUGGACUUAUAAACUCUCUUUAAUUGUUUCUUGUAAUAUUGUAUGUUCUGUGUUUUUUUUUAUUUUUACAGGGGAAGAUGUCGCAUACGUCACACUUGUGCCUAUUGAACAUGUGACAGUUGUGUCUCUACACAGUCGGCAGUUACCUCCCGCGUAGUGUGUGAUCGUCCGUAGUCAAAUAAACAUGUCUGCAUCAAAAUUCCGAAGUUACCAAAAUCAGCCGAGUUAUCAGCUGCCUCAUCAGUGAAAGAAAAACCUGGUAUCGUUUAAGUUUUCUAACAGCUGGGACUUUUACUGUGAUGCAGUCCCGAAAAUGUCUUCCCACUCAGAACCAGAGUUGUCACACAAACACCAAGUCUGUUCUUUGGAGAUAAAUGCAUGAUUGAUGAUGAUGAAAGAGUUCCACCCUGAAAACGUUUUUCGGCUGCACUGUAACCAGUUGCAUGUAACAUCCCUGCCUCUGGUCCGUCGAAGAUUGACAUUCAACUAUGAGGACCAGCAGUGAUCGCUUAGUCGUGGUUUGAAACAUCUUGUGACGGGGCACACCCGCCGUUUCUUUUAUUUUUGCUGAUGGAAAGAAAACAUCCAAAGAGCCCCACAAAACUUGUAUCCAUGUUCUGCAAAGGCCCUUCAGACUGAUUAUGAAAUAUUCACUGAUGUCGUUUCAAGCGUCUUCCUGUUAGCUUAGAGUAAACGCUGAGCACAAAAGCUACUGUGUAUGAAAAGGAACUGCUGCUUUAAAAUAAGUUCAAGAAUUUGGUGUCAAGAAAUCAAAAAUUGUAAUACUUAAAAUAGUGACCAAGGUCAAAGGAAUUUAUUGUAUUACUGUUUUCUGCUUAAAUAUGUGAUUAGUAUGUAUUUUCUUUUGAAAUAAAAUCUAGCGGAACAGAAGCCCUGGGACGAGGGAAAGGACGAUUGCUUUCCCUCAUCCCCUGAUGAGUAAAAGGUAAGUAACGCACAAGUCUUUUAUGUUAUCUUGAAGGCUGUCGAGAUAAAUUGUAAUCCAUUUGUAAGACAUAGAUGGAGGCAGUAUUUUUUCUGCGGAUGAAUGUUUGCUAUAAAACAGAAAUAAUUUUGAAUGAAUCCUUUUUCCAAAAUUUCUCAACAAAUUAAUAUUAAUAAAAGAUUUAGUUCUAGUUUGUUUCAUAAGAUUUCCUGAAUUAUAUUUCAUUUACCUGCAAAAACGCUUAUUUUUUCGUCG